rnacentral:lncRNA from 1 species
UGUGACCUCUCUGAACCUCAGUCUCCUCAUCUAGAAAAUGGGAAUCAUGCAAUCGCCCUGGUCAUUGGCUCACUCUGGGGACCUAAGUAAGGGACUGUUUCUCUCAGUGUGAUCUGCAUGCUGCUGGGGGUGCAGUCCCUGGAAUUUCAUCAGCUGUUCCUGCUCUCCCCUGGUCCUGGGCUGUGCCCUGUGUCCUGGGAACCAGCAGGUGCACAGCCACCUUGAGGCCCCGUGCACUGUCCUUCCUGGCCCCCUCCCCUCUUCCCCAGUCCCCAGCAGUCCCACCAGGCCUUGGCCGGCCCUCCUCCUGAUGCCACUUCCUGCCGCAGCCAGAGGAAGGUCCCGCCCCUCCUGCUCACAGUUCAGCGGAGGACGCUGGGAUGCGCAGGAGUGAACAACCAAUGGGCUCGGCUUCCCAGGGGCGUGUGAUUUAAAGGGAACCGGUUGGCAGGCAGGGAAGCCGCUACUUGUGUGUUAUACGAGAAGCUGGCCUCUAUGGACCCUUAUCUGUAAAUAGAAUGAAAUCCUUGUAUUUCUCUCCAAGUAGUUUUGCAAGAAACCUUCAAAAUUGUCUCAUUUUUAGUGUUACUUAGAACAUUAUUUUACAAAAACAAAACAAAACAAAAACCAAUAAAACUGGAUAAAC